GCUGGGUGUGGUGGUGCAUGCCUGUAGUCCCAACUACUCAGGAGGCUGAGGCAGGAAGAUUGCUUGAGCCUGGGAGUUCAAGGCUGGAGUGAGCUAUGAUUGCACUACUGCACUCCAGCCUGGGCAACAGAGCAAGGCCCUGUCUCUA
ensembl:misc_RNA Metazoa_SRP Metazoan signal recognition particle RNA